AUACGUAGGGGGCAAGCGUUAUCCGGAAUCAUUGGGCGUAAAGAGUGCGUAGGUGGUUUCUUAAGCGUGGGGUUUAAGGCUACGGCUUAACCGUAGUUCGCCCCAUGAACUGGGAGACUUGAGUGCAGGAGGGGAAAGUGGAAUUCCUAGUGUAGCGGUGAAAUGCGUAGAUAUUAGGAGGAACACCAGUGGCGAAGGCGACUUUCUGGACUGUAACUGACACUGAGGCACGAAAGCGUGGGGAGCAAACAGGAUUAGAUCCCCUGGUAGUCCACGCCGUAAACGAUGAGCACUAGGUGUCGGGGAGACAAUCCUCGGUGCCGCAGUUAACGCAUUAAGUGCUCCGCCUGGGGAGUACGUUCGCAAGAAUAAAACUCAAAUGAAUUGACGGGG
rnacentral:rRNA from 1 species